GACUAUAUUGUAGCCCCAACAAUAAAUACAUUAGCGACCCGAACAACAAACCCAACAAAUCACAAAAUAUCUGCUCUCACAAUAUUCCAGGUGAAGGUGCUCAUGACAAGGCGAAAAAGAUGAUGUUGAUGUUUUAUUGGACCAACAACAUGGUUAAACUGCCUUGUUCAAAGUCGCUGCCUGUCUGUCUUUGGGAACAUUGGCACUUCAACAUCAAUAAAUUAACAUGCGCAUUUGCUUUUAAUUAAAAUUCGAUAAUAUUUUGCCAUGCA